UGGUCCUGGACCCACAGUCCCAUCCCCAUCACUCACCUGGCUGGCAAUACCUAAGGGGAAUAAACACCACAUCAUCGAAGAAUCCUAUGGGGACAAAUUCUUCUACACCUUUAGGUCUGAGUUUUCAGAGGACUACAGCUCCCAUGAUCCCCAAGAAGAACUGGACCUGAGCUUCAACAGCGAUGCACUUUGGGAAGAGGAGGAAGUACACAAAAAAAAUUCCCUUGCUUAAGCAAGAGAAGUAAAGUUUGAAGGUAAGUAGGGAAUCCUAAAUAGGGAGUAGUAAACUCUUCUGGAAAAUUUAAGUGGAAAUCUGUGAUGGUAAUGCAAGAGAGUUCCAAAGGGCUGAGAGGCAGCUAAGGAACUCUAAGGAAACUUGAUUUGUCAAGUAGAAGGGCUAUUAACCAGAAGUUUAUACAUGUUUAAGGCAGGAUGGCUGAUGAGUUAAAAGAAUGAGAGUUCUAAGGAAGAAAUUUAGAUUCUAGUGAAGAGAAAGGAAGAGGAAGACUGAAGGCACGAAAUGCUUGCUUCUGUGCCCAUUGUGUGCCCGUUGGUCUUUAGAGGCACAGUGGGAUGAAGGUUCCUAUUCCUCCUGCACAGGGAGAAACGCUGUGAUCAGGAGUGAGGAAGGUGAUAGGUGCUUUUUGACUGUUAGAGCAGCCUUAGUUUUUGUAAUGGGCUGUACAAGGGGUAAGGGCUUAACUGGAGAAUAAAGUGACCCACCUGUCCGUGGUAUAGGGUGAA
rnacentral:lncRNA from 1 species